rnacentral:lncRNA from 10 species
GUACACAGAGCAGAUGUGUGGGUGGGGAAGCUGAAAGUAGGAGAAGCUAUUUUCUGAUGGCUUCUAUCAUCUCUGCAGAAUAGAAAGUGAUAUUAUAUGAUUAGCUAACAAUUGUUGGGGCUCGCAGUCAUUGUCUCACUUAAUCCUCACAACCCUAUGAGGUAGGCACCACCACUAUACCCACAGAAAACAGAAUUUCAGAGGACUCAAGAUAUUUGUUCAAGGGUCACAGUUUCUAAAUGUCUCAUCUGAAUUUUGAACCCAGCUUCUCUGAUUCCAGGCCAUCUUAACUGUUUAACUUAGUUAUUUGCUGAGAACGUAGGUAGGGGCGAUGGAAUAUAAGUCUUCAGAAAGGAGGCAGAAUUGUCAAACAGCUGUAUGGAGAAAGGGCAAGGGAACUGACUGAGGAAAUGAAGAGGACAGCUGGAAAAUUUUGAGAGUCUGGUUGACAUUGGAAACCUUGACUUUGUAUGUACUGGCAGCUAACACAGUGCUUAGCACAGAGUAAACACUUACAAAUAUUUGUUCUUUUAUUCUUGCUUUCCUCCUCCAGAUAAUUCCCAAACCUCUGUGCUCCAAGAGAGAAUGGGCCUUAGUGUAAGAGAUCCUGGAUUCUGUAAUGUGAUGGUGGCAGCAUUACUACCACCACUACCAUCAUCUUCAUCAUCAUCAUCAUCACACAACAGCAGCAGCAGCAGCAGCAACUGCUGCUUAACAUCUGGAUCAGACACCGGUCUAACUAUCUUAUGUGUAUUAAUUUAUUUAAUGCUCCCAGUAGUCUUUGAGGUGCCUGCUUUUUACAGGUGACAAGACUGAGACCUAAUGAGGAAAGCUGUCUGGGGAGCAGACAUUUCACAGAGCAGGAAGCAUGAACACUCAGUAACACAGGAAAGGAUGCUCUGCCUCAUCACAAGCAUACAAGUGAAAUGCCAUCUCAUGCACCUACCAGACUGGUAGAAAUGUAAAGUCUGCUAAAACCCAGUGUUUGCAAGGAUGUACAGCAAAAGGAACUCUACUUCAGUUGCUGGGAAGAGUGUAAAUGGUUAUAACUGCUUCUAAGAUAAAUUGAGCAUUACCUAGUGAAACUAAAUAUGUGGAUAUUUACAACCUCACAACUCCACACAGACAUGUACUCAAGAGAAACCCUUGUACAUGUUCACAAUAAGGAAUAAGCAACAAUGUUCUUAUUGCUUGAAAUGAAACAACUUAAGUGUUAACAGUAGACUAAAUAAAUUGCUAUAUUU